rnacentral:rRNA from 1 species
AGUGAACGCUGGCGGUAGGCCUAACACAUGCAAGUCGAACGGCAGCACAGUAAGAGCUUGCUCUUACGGGUGGCGAGUGGCGGACGGGUGAGGAAUACAUCGGAAUCUACUUUUUCGUGGGGGAUAACGUAGGGAAACUUACGCUAAUACCGCAUACGACCUACGGGUGAAAGCAGGGGAUCUUCGGACCUUGCGCGAUUGAAUGAGCCGAUGUCGGAUUAGCUAGUUGGCGGGGUAAAGGCCCACCAAGGCGACGAUCCGUAGCUGGUCUGAGAGGAUGAUCAGCCAAACUGGAACUGAGACACGGGCCCGACUCCUACGGGAGGCAGCAGUGGGGAAUAUUGGACAAUGGGCGCAAGCCUGAUCCAGCCAUACCGCGUGGGUGAAGAAGGCCUUCGGGUUGUAAAGCCCUUUUGUUGGGAAAGAAAAGCAGCAGGUUAAUACCCCGCUGUUCUGACGGUACCCAAAGAAUAAGCACCGGCUAACUUCGUG